rnacentral:rRNA from 1 species
GCGGACGGGUGAGUAAUGCCUAGGAAUCUGCCUGGUAGUGGGGGAUAACGUUCGGAAACGGACGCUAAUACCGCAUACGUCCUACGGGAGAAAGCAGGGGACCUUCGGGCCUUGCGCUAUCAGAUGAGCCUAGGUCGGAUUAGCUAGUUGGUGGGGUAAUGGCUCACCAAGGCGACGAUCCGUAACUGGUCUGAGAGGAUGAUCAGUCACACUGGAACUGAGACACGGUCCAGACUCCUACGGGAGGCAGCAGUGGGGAAUAUUGGACAAUGGGCGAAAGCCUGAUCCAGCCAUGCCGCGUGUGUGAAGAAGGUCUUCGGAUUGUAAAGCACUUUAAGUUGGGAGGAAGGGUUGUAUGUUAAUACUCUGGCAUUUCGUGGUUCCCGGUAGCCGAAGGCCGGAUCAAUCUGUGGCAAGCCUU